rnacentral:rRNA from 1 species
AUGAAGAGUUUGAUCCUGGCUCAGAGCGAACGCUGGCGGCGUGCUUAACACAUGCAAGUCGAGCGCAGGUAUCUUGGGGGUAACCCUGGGAUAUGCUGAGCGGCGGACGAGUGAGUAAUACGUGGAUAACCUACCUUUUAGAUUGGGAUAACUCUGGGAAACUGGAGCUAAUACCAAAUAAGACCACGGUGCCUACGGACACUGGGGUAAAAGGCGGCUGGGCAACUAGCUGUCACUAAUAGAUGGGUCCACGUCCCACCAGGUAGUUGGUGAGGUAAUGGCUCACCAAGCCUAAGACGGGUAGCUGGCCUUAGCGGGUGGUCAGCCACACGGGGACUGAGACACGGCCCCGACUCCUACGGGAGGCAGCAGUGGGGAAUAUUGG